AUGGAUCCGCGCUGCAUUAGCUAGUUGGUAAGGUAACGGCUUACCAAGGCAACGAUGCAUAGCCGACCUGAGAGGGUGAUCGGCCACACUGGAACUGAGACACGGUCCAGACUCCUACGGGAGGCAGCAGUAGGGAAUCUUCCGCAAUGGGCGAAAGCCUGACGGAGCAACGCCGCGUGAGUGAUGAAGGUCUUCGGAUCGUAAAACUCUGUUAUUAGGGAAGAACAUAUGUGUAAGUAACUGUGCACAUCUUGACGGUACCUAAUCAGAAAGCCACGGCUAACUACGUGCCAGCAGCCGCGGUAAUACGUAGGUGGCAAGCGUUAUCCGGAAUUAUUGGGCGUAAAGCGCGCGUAGGCGGUUUUUUAAGUCUGAUGUGAAAGCCCACGGCUCAACCGUGGAGGGUCAUUGGAAACUGGAAAACUUGAGUGCAGAAGAGGAAAGUGGAAUUCCAUGUGUAGCGGUGAAAUGCGCAGAGAUAUGGAGGAACACCAGUGGCGAAGGCGACUUUCUGGUCUGUA
rnacentral:rRNA from 1 species